rnacentral:lncRNA from 1 species
CCACAAAUGAGCAGCCUCUAGAGUCAAGUGAACUUUUGUACUAUUUUCCCAUUACAGAUACAAAAUUCAAGCAGCAUCUUUCACCACCAGGAGGGAGUCAUUGCAUCUGAGGGUUCAAGUUCUCAAUGCCAAUUUCUCAGCAGUGGUAGGUCAGGUCUUUGAAGCUCUAUCCUAAAAUUGCAGAGCUCUAAAUAACCCAGAUGAAACCUAUUGGGAUGAAUUCACAACUGUCUGCAAGAGAAAGCUCCUGCUGACGUCAACAGGAGUUUAUCCUGAGGGCCUAAGAAUUAGAAAGAGCUGCCAGUGCCUUCCCUGUGAGCAGUGAAGCAAAGAAAAGCAAUGAGUUCUGCGGUACAUGGAACAAAUAAAAAUUGUAAAGACAAAAUGCAAAGAAAAGGUAUGAUGAGGAAAAGAAAAGUCCAAAAAAAAAAACUCCUGUCGCACAAAGUGCAUGAAGAAAAUCAAUAUAAAGAACAACAACCAAGAAACCAGCAACUGGAAAGCUUCACUACAGUUUGAACAACAGGAAUGCUGAAUCCAGACUGUUUAGUUUUGUAUUUCAGAUCUGCUAUUUACAUGUGCCUUUAAGAAAAUUAAUAACAUGGGAACUAAGUACCAGAUUCCAAAAAGGAGGUAAAUCUCUAUGUGUUAACAUGAAAAUAUUUCAAACACAUACCUCUACUCUAGAAUCAGGUUGCAGGUAUAUGUGUUACGAUUAAUAAAAGCAGUGUAUAUACAUUGUUUAAAUAUAUACAUACAUUUUGUAUGUACAUAUAUGUGCGCAAUUAUACAUCUGUGUUAAUACAUCUGUGUGUGUGUAAACACAUACAUUACUCAAAGAUCAUUUUCUUUAAAUGUCUCAAUUAUUUUCUUCAUCCCACUCCUCCAAAGAAGUCAUAAAUCCUCAGGUUGGUAUCUAUUCUACUACAGCUUACUCCAUUCAUGCACAAUAAUCUAUCAUAGAUGUGAAUAUACCUUUUUUAUUUUUUUAAUAAAAUUGAAUCAUACUAUAUAAAUUUCACAAAAGAAAGUGCUGUCACUUAAAAUAAACCAAGGUUUUAUUAAAGUACAGUAUAUAUGCAAAUGUGUUAAAAUCUUAAUAUUUGGCAUUUCUUUUUACAGAAGAAUACAUCUGACCAAAUGAAGAUGUAUAAUAUUGCUAGUCCAACGGCUUGCUCAAAGCAUGUAAAGCUGGUUAGAAGCACGGCAAAAAAUUAAAAUGAGCUUUCAAAUAUCAACUUUAUUCUCUUCGAUUGACUGGUAGCUUACCUAAAGAACAGUUGAUAACAAUUGGGGAUCAGGAUGGCCAUGCCUAUUUGCAAACCAAGGCAUCACUUUAUCAAAACCUUUCCUUCAUUGUUUGAACAUAGUAAAAAUAUCUGCUUGUCAAUACCUCUAUGUGAUGAUUUCAAUAUGUUUGCUUCCUUCAUUAUGAUUAAGCAGAGAUUAUAAAUAAUCAAAUAAAGGUUUUAUAAAGUUUGAAAUUUAGCAGAAUGAGGAGAUGCCCUUCUCAACUUUAUCUCCUUUUCCCUUUGCCACAUGUAUUUAUCAGUUCAGAGAUUUGAAAUUUCAUGGUCUAUUUAACUCAGUGUUGCUGUUUGUGAUUCCGCAGUGCUCAGUAACAUCACUGUACAUUCCAGGCACAUCCACAUGACCUAGUUAAUGAAUGCCCUGGAUGUUCUGAAUAGAUUUAUGCUGAUAAUAUGCUGUGUUCAGGCCAGAGCACAGGAUGAAGCCCAAGAAGGGCUCAUUUUCUCUCUUGGGUACUGAUCUGCUAUGUACACUUGAAUAUUACAUUUAGUCUUCUAAAGUUUAACUUCCCCAUGCAAAACAAGGUUAAUAGUGGUAUAUUUGAUCGUGAAGUACUUUGGCACCUUAUAAGAAAAACAUUGUGAGUGCAGAUAUUUAUUGUUUACAAGGUCUAUGAAAUAUGUAAUGGCAACUAUUUUGCUUUUCC